UGCUAGGCCAUGCUAUCCUGAACAAGCCCGAUGCCUGAUCUCGGAAGCUAAGCAGGGUCAGGCCUGGUUAGUUCUUGGAUGGGAGACCACGUGGGAAGACCAGGGUGCUGUAGGCA
rnacentral:rRNA from 1 species